ensembl:lncRNA
CGAUAUCUUUGAAUAUAUUCCUCUUCAUUCGUGCUAAGUGGAAGGAGCCUCCUCCAAGACCAGAGAAUGAUGACUGGCAAGGAAUAUGGAAAGGUUUAAGAAGAACCUUAGAACCGUGGGGACCCGCCGUGCCAUGGGAUUUCACCCCUGAACAUCUGUGGGAUCCCGAGAAACUGAGCCAGCAUUUGAGUCAGGGGCAGUGCGGCUUAGAUAGAUCAAAGGAGGCACGACUCAUCUGGGGCUUGGCUUGUGCCUACUGUGCCCUGUAUAGUACUGUUCUGGAGAGAGACAGUUUCCGAGCGGAGGUGCAAGCCGAAGGGGGAAAUCUCCAAGUCAGACCUGAUCAGUCACAACAGACACCAGUAACAGUGUCAGUAGCCCCUGUAGAAGGCAAGAAAUGGAAGCGGGUGUCCUCACGUCUAGAGCGAAAAAAGGAAGAAGAAGAAGAAGGAGAGGAAGUGGAAGAGGAGGUGGUAGAGGAAGAUCCAGGUGAGGGGACUUCCUCAGAACCAAGAAAAGCAAAAGCAAAAACUAAGAGGCACGAAGAGGACAGCGAUGAAGAGGAGAUCUCUAUUACUGUUCGUCGACCUCUCAAGAUGUCUGAGAUCCUAAGCUCAAGAAAGGAAUUUGAACGACGCCCGAAUGAAACUGUUGUCACCUGGUUGCUUCGUUGUUGGGAUAGUGGGGCCAGUAGCUUGUCUCUAGAUGGUAAUGAAGCACGCCAAUUAGGAGACAUUGCCGGAGACAAAUCCAUCGACAGAGCAAUUAGUAGAUGUUUGGAUGAAGCUGCAACCCUCUGGGACCGAAUACUAAUAGCUGUGAAGGAAAGGUAUCCAGUAUUUGAGGGAAAUAGCCCUGGUGGAAAUGCUAUAUGAGUCUAAUUUUGUUCCUAAUGAUCCACGCCAAAACCAUGAUCCGGAGAGAGUGAGGACAACACCUGAAAUAUGGCAAAAACUUACGAGAGCAGCACCAGACAGAUACGCCCCCACACUAUUAGCCACAUUCCACAGAUACGAGGACCAACAGAGAAGACCCCUAGUCUUCGAAUUGAUUCUUACACUCCAAAACUAUGAGCAGCAUCUACCCCCAACCCACGUUUCCAUUUCAGCCGUCACAGAGUUAGCAAACAGACUGGGUGAUGUAGAGGAGCAGAUGUCCCUAUUGAUUAAUCGUGAUGAACCUGUAGAACCCGUAAUAGUAUCGGAAACGUUUGACGACGAUCAAGAUAAGCAAAGGGGCCUAAUGAAAGAGCUUAUCAAACUAAUGAAAAUCCAAUUAAUUAAAGAAGAUGGAUCCCCCUCCUCACCUGUAACAUCAAAAAUUUCAGCUACCGAAGGCAAACGCUUUCCUGCUCGAGUGAGAAACAACAACAGGACGGCUUCGCGUGUUGCCUUGUGGCGUUAUCUCCGUGACCAUGGAGAAGAUAUGAGGAAGUGGCACGAUCAAGAUACUCCCGUACUGCGAGCACGGGUGAGAGAAC